rnacentral:rRNA from 1 species
GACGAACGCUGGCGGCGUGCUUAACACAUGCAAGUCGAACGGAAAGUCCCUGCUUUUGUGGGGUGCUCGAGUGGCGAACGGGUGAGUAACACGUGAGUAACCUGCCCUUGACUUUGGGAUAACUUCAGGAAACUGGGGCUAAUACCGGAUAGGAGCUCCUGCUGCAUGGUGGGGGUUGGAAAGUUUCGGCGGUUGGGGAUGGACUCGCGGCUUAUCAGCUUGUUGGUGGGGUAGUGGCUUACCAAGGCCUUGACGGGUAGCCGGCCUGAGAGGGUGACCGGCCACAUUGGGACUGAGAUACGGCCCAGACUCCUACGGGAGGCAGCAGUGGCGAAUAUUGCACAAUGGGCGGAAGCCUGAUGCAGCAACGCCGCGUGCGGGAUGACGGCCUUCGGGUUGUAAACCGCUUUCGCCUGUGACGAAGCGUGAGUGACGGUAAUGGGUAAAGAAGCACCGGCUAACUACGUG